AGGGCAGGGGAGCCAACAGGAUAAGAACUUAAGGAUAAGGGACCCGGAGCGCCAGGAGGCGAAGGUCAGGAAACUGUCAGGAUGGCAGUCUGAAAAGGAAAAGGAUCCUACAGGGAACGUUGAAUGCUAAGGGAUAAAACAGGGUUCGUUACCAGCAAACACGGAAUGUGAUGCCCAUUGAGGGUUGAGGGUCAGAAAAAAAGGCGACAGUUUACACUGUCGCCUUUUUUCUUUGCUUGCUU
rnacentral:sRNA from 1 species